UACAGAGGGGGCAAGCGUUGUUCGGAAUUACUGGGCGUAAAGGGCGCGUAGGCGGCCUGUUAAGUCGAACGUGAAAUCCCCGGGCUCAACCCGGGAACUGCGUCCGAUACUGGUAGGCUUGAAUCCGGGAGAGGGAUGCGGAAUUCCAGGUGUAGCGGUGAAAUGCGCAGAUAUCGGGAGGAACACCGGUGGCGAAGGCGGUUCUCUGGGCCUGACCUGACGCUGAGGAGCGAAAGCGUGGGGAGCGAACAGG
rnacentral:rRNA from 1 species